rnacentral:rRNA from 1 species
UACGGGGGGGGCAAGCGUUGUUCGGAAUUACUGGGCGUAAAGGGCUCGUAGGCGGCCAACUAAGUCGGAUGUGAAAUCCCCAGGCUUAACCUGGGAAUUGCAUUUGGGACUGCAAGGCUUGAGUUUGGCAGAGGAGACUGGAAUUCCUGGUGUAGCAGUGAAAUGCGUAGAUAUCAGGAGGAAUACCGAUGGCGAAGGCAGGUCUCUGGGCUAGAACUGACGCUCAUGCACGAAAGCGUGGGGAGCAAACAGG